rnacentral:rRNA from 1 species
UAGGGAAUCUUCCACAAUGGACGAAAGUCUGAUGGAGCAACGCAGCGUGAGUGAAGAAGGGUUUCGGCUCGUAAAACUCUGUUGUUAAAGAAGAACAUAUCUGAGAGUAACUGUUCAGGUAUCGACGGUAUUUAACCAGAAAGCCACGGCUAACUACGUGCCAA